GCCUGCCUGGCUUGGUGGGUGGAGCAGGCGACUCUUGAUCUUGGGGUUGUGGGUUUGAGCCCCACGGUGGGUG
rnacentral:tRNA from 1 species